AUUGAACGCUGGCGGCUUGCCUUACACAUGCAAGUCGAACGGCAGCACGGGUGCUUGCACCUGGUGGCGAGUGGCGAACGGGUGAGUAAUACAUCGGAACAUGUCCUGUAGUGGGGGAUAGCCCGGCGAAAGCCGGAUUAAUACCGCAUACGAUCUACGGAUGAAAGCGGGGGACCUUCGGGCCUCGCGCUAUAGGGUUGGCCGAUGGCUGAUUAGCUAGUUGGUGGGGUAAAGGCCUACCAAGGCGACGAUCAGUAGCUGGUCUGAGAGGACGACCAGCCACACUGGGACUGAGACACGGCCCAGACUCCUACGGGAGGCAGCAGUGGGGAAUUUUGGACAAUGGGCGAAAGCCUGAUCCAGCAAUGCCGCGUGUGUGAAGAAGGCCUUCGGGUUGUAAAGCACUUUUGUCCGGAAAGAAAUCCUUGGCCCUAAUACGGUCGGGGGAUGACGGUACCGGAAGAAUAAGCACCGGCUAACUACGUG
rnacentral:rRNA from 1 species